GUGGGGAAUCUUAGACAAUGGGGGCAACCCUGAUCUAGCCAUGCCGCGUGAGUGAUGAAGGCCUUAGGGUCGUAAAGCUCUUUCGCUGGGGAAGAUAAUGACGGUACCCAGUAAAGAAACCCCGGCUAACUCCGUGCCAGCAGCCGCGGUAAUACGGAGGGGGUUAGCGUUGUUCGGAAUUACUGGGCGUAAAGCGCGCGUAGGCGGAUUGGAAAGUUGGGGGUGAAAUCACGGGGCUCAACCCUGGAAUGGCCUUCAAAACUCCCAGUCUUGAGGUCGAGAGAGGUGAGUGGAAUUCCGAGUGUAGAGGUGAAAUUCGUAGAUAUUCGGAGGAACACCAGUGGCGAAGGCGGCUCACUGGCUCGAUACUGACGCUGAGGUGCGAAAGCGUGGGGAGCAAACAGGAUUAGAAACCCUGGUAGUCC
rnacentral:rRNA from 1 species